GGACUGGAGCCCACCAGGCUCCUCCGUCCAUGGGAUUUUCCAGGCAAGAGUACUGGAGUGGGAUGCCAUUGCCUUCUCCACUUAAAGGUGUUAUUUGUACUGUUUCACCAUUACAUUUCUUGAGAGGUCUCCUGUGAUAUAGGGCAGGACUGUUAAGCUUUGGGAGGGUGUUGGGUUGUGUGUUGGGGUCUAGAUGGGGUCAUACAUUGGGCAGAUUGUGGUGGCCAGGAGCAGAAGAUCUCAGCUCUAGUUCGUGCUGGGGAAGCUUGUGGGAAAUGCAGAUUCCUAGACCCACCUCCAGAGAUUCUGCCUCUAGCUUUGGGACCACGCCCAGAACACUGCCUUGUCACCAACUCCCAUGUUGAAGCUGAAGGUCUGCAUUCCUUACUUUGAGAAACAGCGACUCUGGCCAUGGACCAGCCUGCUGGCCUGCAGGUGGACUACGUCUUCCGGGGUGUGGAGCAUGCUGUGCGGGUGAUGGUGUCUGGGCAGGUGCUAGAGCUGGAGGUGGAGGACCGGAUGACGGCCGACCAGUGGCGGGGCGAGUUCGAUGCCAACUUCAUCGAAGAUCUGACUCACAAGACAGGGAACUUCAAACAGUUCAGCAUCUUCUGUAACAUGCUGGAGUCGGCCCUCACCCAGAGCAGUGAGUCGGUCACCCUUGACCUGCUGACCUACACAGAUCUGGAGUCCCUGCGGAACCGAAAGAUGGGGGGCCGCUCAGGCCCCUUGGCCUCGAGGUCUGCCCAGCUCAACUCCAAGCGCUACCUGAUCCUCAUCUACUCUGUGGAGUUUGACAGGAUUCACUACCCGCUGCCCCUCCCGUACCAGGGCAAGCCGGACCCUGUGGUCCUGCAGGGAAUCAUUCGCUCACUAAAGGAGGAGCUGAGCCGCCUUCGAGGGCUGGAUGGCCAGGACACUCGGGACGGCCGGGAAACCGAGAUCUGGCACCUACGGGAGCAGGUGUCGCGCUUGGUGUCUGAGAAGCGCGAGCUGGAGGCCCAGCUGGGCAGGUUGCGCGAGGAGGCGGUGGCCGGGCGGGCGGCGCGCCAGGAGGUCGAGUCUCUGCGCGGGCUCGUGCGCGGCCUGGAGCUGGAGCUGCGGCAGGAGCGCGGCCUUGGGCACCGCGGGUCCGGCCGUCGAAGCCAGGAUUGCCGCCGCCUGGCCAAGGAGCUCGAAGAGGUGAAGGCGUCGGAGCGGAGCCUGCGUGCGCGGCUGAAGGCGCUGAACACCGAGCUGGCCCUGUACAAGAGGGGGAGACGGACCCCGCCGGUGGUGCCGCCCUCGGCGCGGGAAGAUCGGGCUUCCACGUCCCGGGAGCGCUCGACGUCGCGUGGCCGUGGCGCCGCCCGCUCCUCAUCCCGGGAGAGCGGCCGCGGAGGCCGGGGUCGAGGCCGCCCUGCCCGCCCCUCGCCCUCGCCCACAGGUGGUCGCGUGCCCCGUUUCGACCCAACAGCCUUUGUGAAAGCCAAGGAGAAGAAGCAGAGAGAGAUCAAGAUGAAGCAGCAGCGGAACCGAUUGGGCAGCGGAGGAAGCGGGGACGGCCCAUCCGUCUCCUGGUCUUGCCAGACUCGGCCGCCGGCAGUGGUGACCGGUCGAGGAGACGCGGCUAACCGCUCCCGAAACCGCAGCUCCUCGGUGGACAGUUUCCGCAGCCGCUACUCGUCCGCCAGCUCCUGCAGCGAGUUAGAGGAUUUCUCUGAGUCCCUCCCUAGAGGCGUUCGCCGCAGGGGGAAGGCGCCCAGCCCCACCACGUGGAGUGGAUUCAAUACGCAGCAGAAGUCCACCCCCCUUGAACGCGGUCACCAUCAGAGACGCCUGGCCAGUUCAGGGGGCUGGGUUCCCAUCAAAGAGUACAGCUCGGACCACCAGGCAGCUGACAUGGCCGAAAUAGAUGCCCGCCUGAAGGCCUUGCAGGCAUACAUGAACCAACUGGACACGCGGUCGUGACCUCGGAUGCUGACUGGACCUCCAACCCCACCCACCGCUGGAUUCGGCGUGGGGGCGGGGCCGGUGUGUCCCGGCCCUGCCCCUCCUGGUGCUCUUGGGGAGGGUCUCAGGCGUGUGAGGCCCCACCCCCUCCCGCAGGCAUGGCAUGCUGGGAGGGAGGACCUUCCCAUCCGAUCCACAGCUGUAGCUGCCACUUAUCAAGCGCUUCUGGGGCUUCCCUGGUGGCUCAGACGGUAAAGAAUCUACCCGCAAUGCAGGAGUCCAGGGUUCGAUCCCUGGGUCGGGAAGAUUCCCCUCGAGGAGGAAAUGGCAAUUCAUUCCAAGCACUUCUCAGGUUAACCCUAACCCUCCACUUCAUGGACUGACCUAAGAACUUUUAUAGAGAUGAACUCGUCUGAAACCGUGUGGUUGGAAAUGGACUUUAUCCAAAAGAGGAAACGAGGCUCAGAGAAACGGAAUCACGCCUGAGGUCACAGAGGUUGUAGGUGGCAGAGCCUCCCAGCCAGGACGCACCACGAAGUGCCAUCCCCCAGAACCCAUGUCAGCCCCCUCACUGAUGGCUGGACACUUACCCAUGUAGUUGCCCAUGAAGGAGAUGCCGAUGGCUAUGGGGUUCCACGUGGGCCCAGAGUGGGCACCUUUGAUGUUCCAGCCCCGGCCCUCAUACACGAGCCCAUCUUCUCCGAUCAUGAAACUGUGGAUGGGAGAAUGAUGGAGGGCUUCCUGGAGGAGGACUCCUCCCUCCUUUGCUCACCCCAUCCCUGUCCCUGCCCCUGCCACUCACAAUUUCCCCAACAACCCUCCUCCUUAUCCCCUGAUCUUCCACAAUAAAAACAAUGACCCUCGCCCUU